rnacentral:rRNA from 4 species
UUUGGUGAUGAUGGCAGAGAGGUCACACCCGUUCCCAUACCGAACACGGAAGUUAAGCUCUCUAGCGCCGAUGGUAGUUGGGACCUUGUCC